UGCUCAUGCCAUUGUACAGAACACUGGUGAGACCUCACUUGGAGUAUUGUACACAGUACUGGAGACCGUAUCUCAGAAGGAUAUUGAUACCUUAGAGAGGGUUCAGAGAAGGGCUACUAAACUGGUUCAUGGAUUGCAGGAUAAAACUUACCAGGAAAGGUUAAAGGAUCUUAACAUAUAUAGCUUGGAGGAAAGACAAGACAGGGGGGAUA